rnacentral:rRNA from 1 species
GGGACACGUGGUAUCCUGUCUGAAUAUGGGGGGACCAUCCUCCAAGGCUAAAUACUCCUGACUGACCGAUAGUGAACCAGUACCGUGAGGGAAAGGCGAAAAGAACCCCGGCGAGGGGAGUGAAAAAGAACCUGAAACCGUGUACGUACAAGCAGUGGGAGCACGCUUAGGCGUGUGACUGCGUACCUUUUGUAUAAUGGGUCAGCGACUUAUAUUCUGUAGCAAGGUUAACCGAAUAGGGGAGCCGAAGGGAAACCGAGUCUUAACUGGGCGUUAAGUUGCAGGGUAUAGACCCGAAACCCGGUGAUCUAGCCAUGGGCAGGUUGAAGGUUGGGUAACACUAACUGGAGGACCGAACCGACUAAUGUUGAAAAAUUAGCGGAUGACUUGUGGCUGGGGGUGAAAGGCCAAUCAAACCGGGAGAUAGCUGGUUCUCCCCGAAAGCUAUUUAGGUAGCGCCUCGUGAAUUCAUCUCCGGGGGUAGAGCACUGUUUCGGCAAGGGGGUCAUCCCGACUUACCAACCCGAUGCAAACUGCGAAUACCGGAGAAUGUUAUCACGGGAGACACACGGCGGGUGCUAACGUCCGUCGUGAAGAGGGAAACAACCCAGACCGCCAGCUAAGGUCCCAAAGUCAUGGUUAAGUGGGAAACGAUGUGGGAAGGCCCAGACAGCCAGGAUGUUGGCUUAGAAGCAGCCAUCAUUUAAAGAAAGCGUAAUAGCUCACUGGUCGAGUCGGCCUGCGCGGAAGAUGUAACGGGGCUAAACCAUGCACCGAAGCUGCGGCAGCGACGCUGAUGCGUUGUUGGGUAGGGGAGCGUUCUGUAAGCCUGUGAAGGUGUGCUGUGAGGCAUGCUGGAGGUAUCAGAAGUGCGAAUGCUGACAUAAGUAACGAUAAAGCGGGUGAAAAGCCCGCUCGCCGGAAGACCAAGGGUUCCUGUCCAACGUUAAUCGGGGCAGGGUGAGUCGACCCCUAAGGCGAGGCCGAAAGGCGUAGUCGAUGGGAAACAGGUUAAUAUUCCUGUACUUGGUGUUACUGCGAAGGGGGGACGGAGAAGGCUAUGUUGGCCGGGCGACGGUUGUCCCGGUUUAAGCGUGUAGGCUGGUUUUCCAGGCAAAUCCGGAAAAUCAAGGCUGAGGCGUGAUGACGAGGCACUACGGUGCUGAAGCAACAAAUGCCCUGCUUCCAGGAAAAGCCUCUAAGCAUCAGGUAACAUCAAAUCGUACCCCAAACCGACACAGGUGGUCAGGUAGAGAAUACCAAGGCGCUUGAGAGAACUCGGGUGAAGGAACUAGGCAAAAUGGUGCCGUAACUUCGGGAGAAGGCACGCUGAUAUGUAGGUGAAGCGACUUGCUCGUGGAGCUGAAAUCAGUCGAAGAUACCAGCUGGCUGCAACUGUUUAUUAAAAACACAGCACUGUGCAAACACGAAAGUGGACGUAUACGGUGUGACGCCUGCCCGGUGCCGGAAGGUUAAUUGAUGGGGUCAGCGCAAGCGAAGCUCUUGAUCGAAGCCCCGGUAAACGGCGGCCGUAACUAUAACGGUCCUAAGGUAGCGAAAUUCCUUGUCGGGUAAGUUCCGACCUGCACGAAUGGCGUAAUGAUGGCCAGGCUGUCUCCACCCGAGACUCAGUGAAAUUGAACUCGCUGUGAAGAUGCAGUGUACCCGCGGCAAGACGGAAAGACCCCGUGAACCUUUACUAUAGCUUGACACUGAACAUUGAGCCUUGAUGUGUAGGAUAGGUGGGAGGCUUAGAAGUGUGGACGCCAGUCUGCAUGGAGCCGACCUUGAAAUACCACCCUUUAAUGUUUGAUGUUCUAACGUUGACCCGUAAUCCGGGUUGCGGACAGUGUCUGGUGGGUAGUUUGACUGGGGCGGUCUCCUCCUAAAGAGUAACGGAGGAGCACGAAGGUUGGCUAAUCCUGGUCGGACAUCAGGAGGUUAGUGCAAUGGCAUAAGCCAGCUUGACUGCGAGCGUGACGGCGCGAGCAGGUGCGAAAGCAGGUCAUAGUGAUCCGGUGGUUCUGAAUGGAAGGGCCAUCGCUCAACGGAUAAAAGGUACUCCGGGGAUAACAGGCUGAUACCGCCCAAGAGUUCAUAUCGACGGCGGUGUUUGGCACCUCGAUGUCGGCUCAUCACAUCCUGGGGCUGAAGUAGGUCCCAAGGGUAUGGCUGUUCGCCAUUUAAAGUGGUACGCGAGCUGGGUUUAGAACGUCGUGAGACAGUUCGGUCCCUAUCUGCCGUGGGCGCUGGAGAACUGAGGGGGGCUGCUCCUAGUACGAGAGGACCGGAGUGGACGCAUCACUGGUGUUCGGGUUGUCAUGCCAAUGGCACUGCCCGGUAGCUAAAUGCGGAAGAGAUAAGUGCUGAAAGCAUCUAAGCACGAAACUUGCCCCGAGAUGAGUUCUCCCUGACCCUUUAAGGGUCCUGAAGGAACGUUGAAGACGACGACGUUGAUAGGCCGGGUGUGUAAGCGCAGCGAUGCGUUGAGCUAACCGGUACUAAUGAACCGUGAGGCUUAACCUUACAACGCCGAAG